rnacentral:rRNA from 1 species
AUGUAUGUGCGCCGAAGCCAUGAGCCGAUGAUGGUAUCCACAAUAUUCAUUGAGCCUCCAAAUGGUGAUUCCCAUGGGCGCAGCAGCAAGCUUGCCUUGCCGAUUCCCUGGCUGGUGUCAAAUUUGCAACAACCACGUCAAGAAACAGCUGCGGACCGCCAGGAUCGCCUGCAGCCAUGGAGGCGGGCAAACCUUGCUGACCCACCGGCCACCGCACCGCUGACAGAGGACACCACUCAUGUGUCCAGAGUGUGCCCGGAGGAACUGCUUACGCUUUUGAAGCUGUGGCCUUGUGCACAGGCCUUCCGUGAGUAA